GGACGGGUAGCUCAGUUGGUAGAGCAUCGGACUUUUAAUCCGGUGGUCGCGGGUUCGAGCCCCGCCCCGUUCACCA
rnacentral:tRNA from 1 species